UGUGUGUAUCAAACAGGAUUAGAUACCCUGGUAGUCCACACAGUAAACGAUGAAUACUCGCUGUUUGCGAUAUACAGUAAGCGGCCAAGCGAAAGCGUUAAGUAUUCCACCUGGGGAGUACGCCGGCAACGGUGAAACUCAAAGGAAUUGACGGGGGCCCGCACAAGCGGAGGAACAUGUGGUUUAAUUCGAUGAUACGCGAGGAACCUUACCCGGGCUUAAAUUGCAGAUGAAUUACGGUGAAAGCCGUAAGCCGCAAGGCAUCUGUGAAGGUGCUGCAUGGUUGUCGUCAGCUCGUGCCGUGAGGUGUCGGCUUAAGUGCCAUAACGAGCGCAACCCUUGUUGUCAGUUACUAACAGGUUCCGCUGAGGACUCUGACAAGACUGCCAUCGUAAGAUGUGAGGAAGGUGGGGAUGACGUCAAAUCAGCACGGCCCUUACGUCCGGGGCUACACACGUGUUACAAUGGGGGGUACAGAAGGCAGCUACCGGGCGACCGGAUGCCAAUCCCGAAAGCCUCUCUCAGUUCGGACUGGAGUCUGCAACCCGACUCCACGAAGCUGGAUUCGCUAGUAAUCGCGCAUCAGCCACGGCGCGGUGAAUACGUUCCCGGGCCUUGUACACACCGCCCGUCAAGCCAUGAAAGCCGGGGGUACCUGAAGUGCGUAACCGCAAGGAGCGCCCUAGGGUAAAACUGGUAAUUGGGGCUAAGUCGUAACAAGGUAGCCGUACCG
rnacentral:rRNA from 1 species